rnacentral:tRNA from 1 species
CGGGCUGUAGCUCAGUAGGUAGAGCGCUUCGUUCGGGACGAAGAGGCCGUGGGUUCGAGUCCCGCUAGCCCGA